rnacentral:rRNA from 1 species
AUCCUGGCUCAGAGCGAACGCUGGCGGCAGGCUUAACACAUGCAGGUCGAGCGGGCCCUUCGGGGUCAGCGGCAGACGGGUGAGUAACGCGUGGGAACGUGCCCUUCGGUUCGGAAUAACCCUGGGAAACUAGGGCUAAUACCGGAUACGCCCCUUGGGGGAAAGGUUUACUGCCGAAGGAUCGGCCCGCGUCUGAUUAGCUAGUUGGUGAGGUAACGGCUCACCAAGGCGACGAUCAGUAGCUGGUCUGAGAGGAUGAUCAGCCACACUGGGACUGAGACACGGCCCAGACUCCUACGGGAGGCAGCAGAAGGG